UAUCAACGGCGCUAGAAUAAGUUUUAGCCCCAUUCUUCUUCCUCACCCUCGUAAGACUACCCGCUGAACUUAAGCAUAUCAAUAAGCGGAGGAAAAGAAACCAACAGGGAUUGCCUCAGUAACGGCGAGUGAAGCGGCAAAAGCUCAAAUUUGAAAUCCCCCGGGAAUUGUAAUUUGAAGAGAUUUGGGUCCGGCCGGCGGGGGUUAAGUCCACUGGAAAGUGGCGCCACAGAGGGUGACAGCCCCGUGAACCCCUUUAAAGCCCUCAUCCCAGAUCUCCAAGAGUCGAGUUGUUUGGGAAUGCAGCUCUAAGUGGGUGGUAAAUUCCAUCUAAAGCUAAAUACCGGCGAGAGACCGAUAGCGAACAAGUACAGUGAUGGAAAGAUGAAAAGCACUUUGAAAAGAGAGUGAAAAAGUACGUGAAAUUGUUGAAAGGGAAGGGCUUGCAAGCAGACACUUAACUGGGCCAGCAUCGGGGCGGCGGGGAGCAAAACCACCGGGGAAUGUACCUUUCGAGGAUUAUAACCCCGGCCCUUACUCCCAUACCACCCCGAGGCCUGCAAUCUAAGGAUGCUGGCGUAAUGGUUGCAAGUCGCCCGUCUUGAAACACGGACCAAGGAGUCUAACAAUCAUGCAAGUGUUUGGGCCCAAAACCCAUACGCGCAAUGAAAGUAACCGGAGCGAACCUUACCG
rnacentral:rRNA from 1 species